rnacentral:rRNA from 1 species
UACGGAGGAUCCGAGCGUUAUCCGGAUUUAUUGGGUUUAAAGGGUGCGCAGGCGGGAUGUUAAGUCGGCGGUGAAAUUUUGCAGCUCAACUGUAAAAGUGCCUUCGAUACUGGCUUCCUUGAGUGUGGAUGAAGUAGGCGGAAUUUGGGUGUAGCGGUGAAAUGCUUAGAUAUCACGAGGAACUCCGAUUGCGCAGGCAGCUUACUAAACUACUACUGACGCUCAGGCACGAAGGCGUGGGGAUCAAACAGGAUUAGAUACCCU